CCCACCGCCCACCACUCAGAAACUCCAGGUUCAGUAGGUCCAGAAUUGAGACUGUGAAAGCUGCAUUUUAAAAAACAAUUCCAAAGUGAUUGCCAUGAAGGUAUUCUAUGAACUGUACUCUAGGCUUUGAGAAACUCUGCCCAGGUAGAGUGCUCAGGGCAUCUGCUGGGAGCUGGCAGAGGCCACCCCACCCCAGUUCUACACGAAUCAAGUCAUUGCCCCUGUGGUCACUGACCUAUAGUAAUCAUGAAAAGAAAUUAGGAAUAAGAUAAGGAUGAGGCAAUUUGUGCUCUAGGGAAAACUAGUCCUUCGAUAGUUAUCAAUAUUAUCAUGUUUUGUUUUUUUGGCUGCACUGUGCAAAAAACAGGCGAAAUGAGUCCUUAGAGAGUUAACAAUAUUAUCAUUUUUUUUGGCUGCACCAUGAGUCGUGUGGAAUCUUAGUUCCCCAUCCAGGGAUCGAACCCCUGCCCUCUUCAUUGGGAGCACAGCGUCUUAACCCCCAGACCACCAGGGAAGCCUCAAUAUUAUAACAUUAUCAAGAGAAAUUUUUUAUGAGUUUGGGUUCUUACAUCUUCUCAUACUAAAAUCAUGAACAGAGAAACCCAUUGCUGGUGACCAGGAGCAAACUUCUACCAAAAUGUGCGCUUGAGUGUCGGUACCCCCCUCACCUAAAUCCCACAUACACCGACCUCCCCAGGCCCUCGGCCACUUCAGAGCAGUUCCUCAGCGAUUUCUGAGAGGCCGUCUCCCAGGGUCAGGUCUUCAGGAAGCCCCCAGAUAAAGCGGAAACUCACAGCUCUCUGGUUGUGCUUCUUUUGUUUUUCAGUCAGCAGCCUUGGUGACCGUGAAGGAGCACAGAGAUGGCUUCUCUCCUUGGCCUGAACUCGGUGAGGAUCUGGAGCCUUGAAAGUACAUGCCCGUCCUCAGCCAGUCCAGACAAAUUGGGGUCUCCACUCAUGACUUUUAAGCUUCAACCUGCUGGUCUGCCUCUCACUGUCUCUGCACACUCCAAAGAAAGGCUACGGCCAAAGGCCCGAAUUUGCUGGCUUCGCUGGGACCAGACUGGUUAUCCAUUUUAAAUAAAGUAGUAUGUGUAUGUCUAUCUCAAACUUCCCAACUAUCCCUUCCCCUAACCUUCCCCUCUGGUAUCCAUAAGAGUGUUUUUGUUUUGUUUGGAAAAACACCCAGGAGUGGAAUUGCUGGAAGUGAUGUGUUAGUCACUCAGUCAUAUCAGACCCAUGAACUGUAGCCCUCCAAGGCUCCUCUGUCCAUAGGAUUCUCCAGGGAAGAAUACUGGAGUGGGUUGCCCUUUCCCUCCUCCAGGGGAUCUUCCCAACCUAGGGACUGAACCCUGAUCUCCCGCAUUGCAAGCAGAUUCUUUACCAUUUGAACCACCAGGGAAGCCCAUGGAAUUGCUGGGUUGUAUGGUAAGAAGUUCUAUUUUCAGUUUUUUGAUGAAAUUCCAUACAGUUUCUGCACCAAGUUACAUUCCCAUUGUCAGUGUGCAAGGGUUCCCUUUUCUCCACAUCCUCACUCAUAUUUGUUAUUUACAGUUUUUUUUGAUGAUACCCAUCUAGGUGUCAGGUGGUAUCUUGUGGUUUUGACUUGCUUUUCUCUGAAAAUUAGUAAUGUUGAGCAUCUGUUUCUGUGUCUGUUGGCCAUCUGUAUGUCUUCUUUGGAAAAAGUGUUUAUUUAGGUCUUCUAUCCAUUUUUAAAUUGAGUCCUUUUUUUUGAUACUGAGUUGGAUGAGCAUAUAUAUUGGAUGAAUAUAUAUAUAUAUAUAUAUAUAGGAUGUUAACCCUUCAUGAGUCAUAUCAUAUCUAUUUUCUCCCAUUCAGUAAGUUGUAUUUUAGUUUUGUUGAUGGUUUCCUUUGUUGUGUAAAACCUUCUUUAAUUAAUUGAUUUUUUAAUUGAAGAAUAAUUGCUUUACAGAAUUGUGUCGGUUUCUGCCAAACAUCAACAUGAAUCAGCCGUAAGUAUACAUAUGUCCCCUUGCUAUAUGCAAAAACUUUUGAAUCUAACUAGAUGUCAUGAAUCUUUGCUUUUGUUUCCUUUGCUUUAGGAGACAGAUCCAAAA
ensembl:lncRNA